CUAGGGGCGCCCUGGGUCUUCCAGGAGUGAUCCAGAAGUUUCUUCCUGUCCUGCGUGCGCUGACCAUCGGCCCCGAGGACAGCGAUAAGAUGGCUAAAGGCUCCCGAGGCCAGGUAACAUUGGAACAUACAGGUGGCAGGUAGGGGAGAAUUUGGAGACUUUUGAAAAGAAUGUGAAAUUGGAGAGUGGGGCUCAGUUUCUUGGUCUGAGGACACAUGUCUAAUUAUCCACCAAAUCACCAAGAUCAUCAGAAAUGAUUGGAACAUUGACAGUAGCUGCUACAAAAAGUAACACUUCCAACCAACCAUUACCAUAAACUCAUAGAAACUUUUUAUUCCAUUUCUUGCAUGAGACAUGUUUGACUUCCACGGCCAUUCUGGCAUCAGAUCCUUAAAGAAAAUGCCAAGGAGUGAUAAAUGUGACUCUAUUUAUAUGUUAAAAAUUAAGUAAACCACCAUUUCACUAAUUAUAAUGAGGAUAUAUCUGCUCUGGAACUUAAGACUACUUCAUUCUGAGACAAAAGAAACUAACUUUUUUUAAUGAAAUGCCUAGGGUGACAAAUUCAGUCUUUUCUAUGACUUCUGUGGCUUAAAGAAUAUUAAUAUCAAAGACCCAAUGAAUUAAUUUUCAAUUAUUUGAUUUUAGUUUUAAGUUUCAUGAAUAAAUUGCUUUCUAGUAAUCAUUGUUACAGGAGUUAUUAAAAAAUUAUUUUAGGCAGAUAAAGAAGAAAAGGGGUCCUUGGGAAGUUUAUUUUUCUUUUAAAUCAGCUCCAGAAAUGUUUCUUGCCUAGCAGAAAAACCCUGGCAGGCAAGCUUUGAUAUGCAAAUGCAGGCCAUUAGAAACUAGGUCCACCAAACAUGGCGAUUCCUGCCAUCUUCUUGUGCCCACAUGUGCCUGGCAACAUGGCCACCCCACAUAUCCCCACAUGUGUAGAACAUCAUGGUGCCCUUCAUUUGCAUAUUAAAAGGCUAGGGUGGGAGGGCCAGUUUUUUCACCGGCUACUUGAAUGACAUACCUGGUCAAACCAAUCCUCUGGGCACUAUGCCAGUAAGACACCGCCUCCUCCAGCCUCCUCAUAUAAAUGGCUGUUUUUCACCGCACUCAGGGUUCCCUCUUUCAGCUUAGAGCCCCCCCACCUCUAUCUCUGUACAGAGGGAGCCUCUUCCUUCUUUCUUGCCUAUUACAAUUCUCCACUCCCUAAAGCCACUCCACAUGUGUCUGUGUCGUUUUAUUCAAACCGGUGCAAGACCAAGGACCCUGGUGUUCCUCCAGUCAUCAAAGCCAUAUGAUUUUGGUGCAUUGGCCAGGAAUCCAAGGUACAGCAUUCAUCAGAGUGGUAAGUAUGGGAGUAAGCUUAAAAUCUGUUCUGUCAUUCCAAGGUGCUCUUGGCCUCUUUUUUUUUUUAAUUAUACUUUAAAUUCUAGGGUACAUGUGCACAACAUGCAGGUUUGUUACAUAUUUAUACAUGUGCCAUGUUGGUUUGCUGCACCCAUCAACUCAUGAUUUACAUUAGGUAUUUCUCCUAAUGCUAUCCCUCCCCCAGCCUCCCACCCCACAACAGGCGCCAGCAUGUGAUAUUCCCUUCCCUGUGUCCAAGUGUUCUCAUUGUUCAAUUCCCACCUAUGAGUGAGAACAUGCAGGUUUGGUUUUCUGUCCUUGGGUCAGUCUGCUGAGAAUGAUGGUUUCCAGCUUCAUCCAUG
rnacentral:lncRNA from 1 species